rnacentral:lncRNA from 1 species
AAGAAAUAAAUCAAUACUAUAAUACUACAAUAAGCUAAAGGGAUGCUGAAAUCUGCGUUCGCCGCAGCAAGCUCCGAAGUCUAAAAGUUGGUGUCUAUUUUUAUUUCUUUUGGGAUUAGACAAGCCUUCCCUGUAUGUUAUUUACCCAAAAUCAACUUACCUAAGCAGCUAUCUCUACUAGCAAACAAUUGCAUAAACAGAGGAAUCUAAGAUACCUUACUGGAUGCCAAAGCAGGAGUAACGAAUGUCAAAGUAUACUUGGGAAUUAGGAUAGCCAUUCUAACAUGGAGGAUGGAGCAUAUACCUAUGGAAAUUCGUUCAAUUAGGAACCUCUCUUCUCUGUCGAGUCAAGACUGAGAGCAGCACAGAAGGAAUUUCCUCAAUCAUUUGAAAUUGUGAAAUGGCUAAUACUCUGCUCGUUCGAUCAGAAUGCCAUUAACCAUUCUAAAAAGAUGCAUAUACAAAAGGACUUGAAAUUCACUCGCCUAGUAACAAAACAAAUUAACCAAAAAGAGAAAAACCAUUAAAAACUGUUGGGGGCAGGUCUAUGCGGUCCCUACACGGGUCUUAAGCAGGUCUAGAUGGGUCUUGACGGCCCUAGGCGGGUCAAAGCGCUCCCUUGGCGGCACUAAGUGGGUCUCGGCAGCCCUUUGGCGGGUUUAGCUACCCCUAAACGAGUCAAGACUGCCCUAUAGUGACCCUAGGCGGGUCUUGGCAGCCCUUAAGCGGGUCUAGGUGGGUCAAGGCGGUCCUUUGACCUGCCCUUUGGCCCCUAAGCGGGUCUUGGUUGUCCUAGGCGGGUCUCGGCAGCCCCUUGGUGGGUCUAGGUUACUCCUAAGCGGGUCUAGGCGGUCCAUACGCGGAUCCUAAGCAAGUCUAGGCGGGUCUUGACAACCCUAGGCUGGUCAAGGCGCCCAAUUGGCGGCCCUAAGUGGGUCUCGGCAGCCCCUUAGGGGUCUACGUGGGUCAAGGCGGUCAUUUGACAGUCAAAGUAGUCUCUUGGCGACCCCUAAGCGGGUCUUGACGAUCCCUACAUGGGUCUACAUGGCCCCCUGAGUGGGUCUUGAUAGCCCCUUGUAUGAAAUCAUGACAAAUAAAUACUUCUCGAACUGACGGAACUCGAAACUCUCAAUCAGAUUAGUUUAUAAGUGUUUCGUUUUAAACCGGAUCUAAGGACUUCGUCUUCUGAACAUCAACAAAACAUGCCUACUUAGAUCUUUGUCCCCCUUGGCGGGUCUCGACAGCCUCUUGGUGGGUUUAGGCUGCCUUUGAGCGGGUUUGGGCGCCCCCUAAGCGGGUCUAGGCGGUCCCCAUGCUGGUCUAAGCGGCCCCUAAGCGGUCUAGGUUGCCACUAGGCGGUCUUAAGCGGCCUUGAGGCGGGUCUAAGCUGGUUAAAGCUGCCUCUAUGCGGAUCAAGGCUGCCCUUGUGUGGGGCAAGGCGACCCCUAGCAAACCUUAGGUGAGACUUAGAGGCUUAUUGGUGGGUCUAUGCAGCCCCUAAGCGGGUCUUGGCGGUCACUACGCGGGUCUAGAUGGCCCCCUAAGCUGGUCUUAGUGGCCCUAGGUGGAUCAAGGCGCCCCCUUGGCAGCCCAAAGUGGGUCUCGGCAGCCUCUUGGCUUGUCUAGGUGGCCCCUAAGCUGGUCUAGGUAGGUUAAAGCGGUCCUUUAGUAGGUCAAAGCGGUCCCUUGGUAGGUCAAAGCGGCUCAUUGGCUGCCCUCGGCGGGUCAAGACAGCCCUUUAGCGGCCCUAGGCAGGUCUUGGCAGCCCCUUAGCGGGUCUAGGUUAUCCCUAAGUGGGUCUGAACGGUCCAUACGCCGGUCUAGGUGGCCCUUUAAGUGGGUCUUGGAGACCUACGCGGGUCUCGGCAACCCUUUAGCGAGUCUAAGCUAUCCCUAAGCAGGUCUAGGCGGUCCUUACACGGGGUCUAAGUAGGUCUAGGCAGGUCUUGACGGCCCUAGGCGGGUCAAGGAGCCUUCUUGGUGACCCUAAGUGGGUCUCGGCAGCCUCUUGGCGGCCCUAGACGUGUCUCGGUAGCCCCUUGGCGACCCUAGACUUAUCUCGGCAACCCCUUGGUAGGUCUAGGCGGCCCUUAAGUUGGUCUAGGUGGGUUAAGACAGUCUCUUAGCAGGUCAAAGCGGUACCUUGGCGGGUCAAGACCACCUGUUAGCGGCCCUAAGAGGGUCUCGACAGCCCCUUGGUGGGUCUAGGUGGCCCUUAAGCGGGUCUAUAAGGUCCUUACGCGGGUCUUAAUUUGGUCUAGGCGGGUCUUGACGGCCUUGGGCGGGUCAAGACGCCCCCUUGGCAGCCCUAGACGUGUCUCGGCAGCCCCUUGGCGGGUCUAGGUUACCCCUAUACCCCUAAGUAGGUCUAGGCAGUCCCUACGGGUCCUAAGCUAGUCUAGGCGGGUCAAGACGCCCCCUUGGCGGCCCUAAACAUGUCUCGGCAGCGGGUCUAGACGGCCCCUAAGUAGGUCUAGGAGGUUCUUACGCGGAUCCUAAGUAGGUCUAGGCGGGUCAAGGCACCCUCUUGGCGGCCCUAAGUGGGUCUCAACAGCCCCUUGGCAACCCUAGACGUGUCUUGCCAACUCUUUGGCGGGUCUAAGCUGACACGACCCACCCCGAAUUUCACCCUGAAACCCGGAGUAAGUCGUGCGGGGACCACCUCCAAGGAAAGUUUACCGAAAAAUCGGCAUAACCUCCCUUGAAAAUGGACAACCCUUCCUAAUAAAAUACCUGCAAACACUUCUGAAAAAUCCAAAUCCAACCUUAAACUCCUGGAGCCUUCGUGCACCCCAAAUCACAACAUCUCCCAAUUUAAUUACUAACUUAAACAAGAAAAUCUCAUAGCCAACAGCCACAGUUCAGAGUAACUCUAUUUGAAAGGAAAUAAACUAGAAAUAUAAAAAUGAGCGGAAGCUACACUAUUGACUAUGCCUCUUCUCCAAAUACGUCCGACCUCAACUAUGCAAUCCUGCAAACUGGGCAUUUUUAAAACGAAGAGCCCAGGGGAAAACAUUUGAAAACGAAACGUUAGAGUGAGGGGACAAAAAUAAAUUAACGAAUAAAAUAUUUAUGUUUCCCCAAAUCAAUUUCUAAAGAAAAAUCGAAUGCAUGCUGCAAGCGAUAAAACUUUCAUCUCAUAAUAUCGAGCCUCUCAGGCUCUAUAAUAUAUGUAUGUAUUUACACACGUCCAUACUCCCUAUAUAAAUUCAUGAGUCUAUAUAGGGCUACUACGCUCGCGUCCAACGCUCACGUCACGCCUUAAUGCGGUGCUACACUACGCCAUUAAGGUGGACAGACGGGUGUAUAAAUAUGUGUCCAUACCCCCUAUAUGAAUUAGACACUCAUAUAGGGCUACUACGCUCGCCUCCAACGCUCACGUCACACCAUAAUGGGGCUAUAUGCUACACCAUUAAGGUGGACAGACACAUAGGGCUAACUAGCAUUUAUAUACAUACUCUCUCAUAAAUACAUAUUUAUAUCCACCGAAAAUCCCAUUUUCGGUAACUCUCCAAGAGAAAAAUAAAAAUCGUCAAAUUAAAAUGACGUUAAAAUAUUCUGCAACAUUGAUUGUUCAACCAUGAACUAUAGCAUGCAUUUAUUUAAAAUAAACGUCCACUCACAACUCUAGGCAUAAGCCCGACGAAAUCCAAAUCGCCACUCCAGAGAGGUUUCCUCGAACCCUGGCACAAAUAUAAAAUUAAUUUCCCAACUAAAACUCCAAUAUUUAAACAAAAUAGGCAAAAUUAACCGAGAGCCAUAACUACGCUCAUCAUUGCCUAAUUUCGAUAUUCUUAAAUCGAAACGAUCCGAACUUAAAUAUCAUACUCGGCAGCCGUAAUUACAACCUCCCCAAAAAUACGACUUAAAUCCUACGGCCGGAUUCUACAUUAAUUAACCGCCAAAAAUAUCACACUUCAGAAAUUCACAAACCUAUCCAAAUCUCAUCCAAAAAUUCCAUAAAUCACAUCAAUAUACUCCUCUUAAUAUUCCACACUUAAAACCCUAAAAAUCUCUUAACCGGCGGCGGCCGGAGGCCAAAUCCGGCGACCUCCAAAACCUAUGAAAUUUUGAUAGAACAAUCACCUCAUCAUGCUCUACAACUUUCAUGACCAGUACAACACCCAAUUCCAAGCCUAACUAGGCUAAUCGAACGAAAACAACUUAAAAAGCCUUAGAGCUUCCACUCAUCGGUUCUCCUUACCUAGACCACGAGAGGGCGAGCUCUUUGGAGGGGUUGCUGCACGGGAGGAGAGCUUUCUUUUGAGCCAAGAAUCAUCGGCUUUGGCGGCCGGAGGAGGGAGCUCCGGCGAUGGAGAGCUACGGCAGUCGGACCCGUUCGAGCUAGAUUCCACCCGAUCGGCGGCGCUAGGGGGGCUGUCACCGGUCCAGGAAGGUGGCUGGGUUGAUGGCCGACCGAACGGGACCGGUGCGGCGGUGGUUGGUGGCCGGACGGCGGCGGGCAGCCAAGAAGAAAACCGGCGGGGAGAGAGAGGCUCGGGUGCGGGAAAACCAGGAGGGAGAGAGAGAGAAAAAAAAGGCUGGGCUUUGACCACCCCUUGGCUCGGUCCAACCUUCUUAUACCACCCAAAUCCAAAAAUAAAACACCCCGAAAAAUAAUAUCCGAAUAAAAAUUACCUUUUACUAGCUAAAAUUUACCAUUUUUACCGUUGUCAUAUUUUCUCCCACGAAUAACUCCCCGAAAUUAAUCGUCCCUCAAAACACCUCUAGGGACCGAUUAAACUAUUACCUCAAUGACGGAGACGGUAAAAUUCUUAUUAUAACCAAGCUAGUAAAUAAGGUAAAAAUUUAAGGGUCGGGAUGUGACAUAAGCGGCCCCUAAGUUGGUAUGCGUAAGUCAAGGCGGUACCUUGGCAGGUUAAAGCGGCCCCUUGGCUGCCCCUAAGCGGGUCUUAGCGAUCCUUACGCCGGGCUGCUUAGCCUCCUAAGCGGGUCUUGGCGGCCCUUGGCGGGUCUCGGCUGCCCCAUGGAGGGUCUACGUUACCCAUAAGCGGGUUUAAAAGGUCCCUACGCGAGUACUAAGCAGGUCUCGGCGGGUCUUGACAUCCCUAGGCGGGUCAAGACACCCCCUUAGCGGCCCUAAGUGGGUCUCGGCAGUCCCUUGGCGGGUCUAGAUGACCUUUAAGCUGGUCUAAGUGGGUCAAGGCGGUCCAUUGACAAGUCAAAACGGCUCCUUAGUGGCCCCUAAGCUGGUCUUGGCGGUCCCUAUAAGGGUCUAUGUGUCCCCCUAAGCACCUCUUAACGGCCCUAGAUGGGUCUCGGCAACCCCUUGGUGGGUCCCUAAGCGGGUCUAGGCAGGUCUUGACAGCUCUAGACGGAUCAAGGAGCCCCCUUGGCAUAUCUAAGUGGGGCUCGGCAGCCCCUUGACGGCCCUAGACGUGUCUAGGAAGCCCCUAAGCUGGUCUAGGUAGUCUAGGAGGGUCAAGGUUGUCCCUUAAUUGGUAGGUCAAGGCGGCCUAUUAACUGCCCUAGGUGGGUCUUGGUAGCCCCUUGGCAGGUCUAGGCUACCCCUAAGCGGGUCUAGGCAGGUCUUGACAACCCAAAUGGGUCAAUACGCCCCUUAAUUGGCGGCCUUAGACAUGUCUCGACAGCCUCUUGGCGGGUUUAGGCGGCCCCUAACCGCGUCUAGGUGGUCCCUAAGCGGGUCUAGGAUGGUCAAGGCAGGUCAAAGCGGCCUAUUAGCGACCCUAGCGGGUCAAGGCGGCCUAUUAGCGACCCAAGGCGAGUGUUAGUAGCCCCUUGGCUGGUAUAGGCGGCCCCAAAGCAGGUCUAGGCGGUCCCUACGCGGGUUUGGGCGGCCCCUAAGCGGGUCUAGGUGGCGGUUAGGUGAUCUUAACCGGCCUUGAGGCAGGUCCAAGCAGGUUAAGGUGACCUUUGUACAUCUCUAGGCUACCCUUGUACGGGUCAUGGCGACCCUUAGCAUUCCCUAGGCAGUUCUUGACGGCCCUAGGCGGGUCAAGGCGCCCCUUUGGUCACCUUAAGUGGGUCUCGGCAGCCCGUUGGCGGCCUAGACGUGUUUCGGCAGCCCCUUGGCGGCCCUAGACGUGUCUCGACAGUCCAUUGGCAUGUCUAGGCGACCCCUAAGCUGGUCUAGGUAAGUCAAGGCGGUCCCUUGGCAGGUCAGAGCGGCCCCUUUGUAGCUCCCGAUGAGUCAAGACCGCCCCAUAACAACCCUAGGCGGGUCUCAGCAGCCCUUUGGCGUGUCUAGGAGGGUCUAGCGGCUCUUAUGCAAGUCUAGCAGGUCCCUACACGGGUCGUAAGCUGGUCUAGGCGGGUCUUGACAGCCCUAGGCGGGUCAAAGCGCCCCCUUGGCGGCUCUAAACGUGUCUCGGCAGCCCUUUGGCGGGUCUAGGAGGCCCCUAAACGGGUCUAGGUGGUCCCUACGUGGGUCUAGUUGGGUCAAGGCGGUCCUUUGACAAGUCAAAGCGGCCCUCUGUGGGUCAAGGUGGCCUAUUAGCGACCCUAGGCGGGUCUCGGCAGACCCUUGGCGAGUCUAGGCUACCCUUAAGCGGAACUAGGUGGUCCUUACACGAGUCCCUAAGCAGGUCUAGGCGGGUCUUGACACAACCCAAAUGGGUUAAUACGCCCCUUGGCAACCCUAGACGUGUCUUCACAACCCCUUGGCAGGUUUAGGCGGCCCCUAACCGGGUCUAGGUGGUCCUUACACGGGUCUAGGAUGGUCAAGGCGGGUCAAAGCGGCCUAUUAGCGACCCUAGGUGGGUCAAGGCGGCCUAUUAGCGGCCCUAGACGAGUGUCGGCAACCUCUCGGCGGGUUUAGAUGGCCCCAAAACAGGUCUAGGCGGUCCCUACGCGGGUUUGGGCGGUCCUUAAGCGGGUCUAGGUGGCCUAAGCGGGUCUAGGUGGCCGCUAGGCGAUCCUAACCGGCUUUGAGGCGGGUCCAAGCAAGUUAAGGCGACCUUUGUACGGAUCUAGCUGCCCUUGUACAGGUCAAGGCUACCCCUAGCAAUCCCUAGGCAGUUCUUGAUGGCCCUAGACGGGUCAAGGCGCCCCCUUAGUCGCCCUAAGUGGGUCUCGGCAGCCCCUUGGCGGCCCUAGACGUGUCUCGGCAGCCCCUUGGCGGCCCUAGACGUGUCUCGAUAGUCCCUUGGCUUGUCUAGGCGGCCCUUAAGCUAGUCUAGGUAGGUCAAGGCGAUCCCUUGGCAGGUCAAGGCAAUCCCUUGGCAGGUCAGAGCGGCCCCUUGGCAGCCCUGUGGCGGGUCUAGGAGGGUCUAAGCGGCCCUUAUGCGGGUCUAGGAGGUCACUACACGGGUCCUAAGCUGGUCUAGGCGAGUCUUGACUACCCUAGAUGGGUCAAGGCACCUCCUUGGUGGCCCUAAUAGUGUCUCGGCAACCUCUUGGCGAGUCUAGGAGGCCCCUAGGUGGGUCUAGGUGGUCCCUACGUGAGUCUAGUAGGGUCAAGACGGUCCCUUGGCAGGUCAAAGCGGCCCUCGACUGGUCACGGCGGCCUAUUAACGACCCUAUGUGGGUCUCGGCAGACCCUUGGUGGGUCUAGGCUACCCUUAAGCAGGUCUAGGCAGUCCUUAAGCAGGUCUAGGCGCGUCUUGACGACCCAAGGCGGGUCAAGGCUCCCUUUUGGCAGCCCUAGACGUGUCUCUGCAGCCCCUUAGCAGGUUUAGGCGGCCCCUAUGUGGGUUUAGGUGGUCCCUACGUGGGUCUAGGAGGGUAAAGGCGGUCCCUAGUCAUGUCAAGGUGGGUCAAAACGGCCAAUUAGCGGCCCUAGGUUUUCCCUAAGCGGGUCUAGGCUAAAGUGAAAAUAAAUUUUUAUUGACUUCAUGUUCUUAUUUUUUUAACCAAACACUUUCUAUUACUAAAUCAUGAUAAAUAAGUAUUUCUCAGACUAACGAAGCUCGAAAACCUUAGUUAGAUUAGUGUAUACGAGUUUCGGUUGAUUUCAUUUAAAAUCUCUUACUAUAGCACACAAUUUUUCCUUCAAAAUUGAAUUUUCUUAUUUUUUAACCAAAUUUUUUCUAGUAUGAAAUCAUGACAAAUAAGUACUUCUCAAACUGAUGGAAUUCAAAAACAAUCGGAUUACUGUAUACGAGUUUCACUGAAUUUCACUUAAAUAUCCCUUGUUAUAGCACACAAUUUUUUCGGCAAAAUUGAAUGUUCUUAUAUUUUAAUCAAACUUUUUCUAGUAUGAAAUCUUCACAAUUAAGUACUUCUCGAACUGAAGGAACUCGAAAGUCUCAAUCGAAUUAGUGUAUACGAGUUUCGCUUGAUUUC